AGAUGUGAGGGCGAUGUGGCUGCGAUAUGUGUCACCUCCAUCCAUCGCCGGGGUUGGAUCUGCAGCUCUGGCUGAGGGGCUGCUGCCCCUUCCUCCCUCGCCUCUCCAAGUGCCUCCCUCCCUAGGCUCAGUGGAAGAGGACGACCACCCCUGGUGCAGAGUAGCUGGGCUCCCCUCUUCCCCUCCUAGAACCUCUAAACAAGCACUCAAGAAAUGGAAGGAGGAGGAGGAGCGAGGAGGACAAGGGGCAUUAACCAUACACAAGAUGUGU
ensembl:misc_RNA 7SK 7SK RNA